AAAUAUAUACAUACACACAUUUAUAUAUGUGUCUCUGUGUGUGUAAAUUACAUCUAUAUAUACACCUCUAUCAAAAAACAGGAUACUUUUUUUAUCAAACCUCUCCUAACAUCAUUCUAACUGCAAAUGGUCUGGUCCCUGUAAUUUCCCAGUUCUUAUGGCACUUUCACUAAUUUUGUCUUUGAACAUCUUUACUAGUCCAUUCUACAAAAUUAUAAUCUCCCUGGAGACAGAAUCUGUCUUUUCCCUUUCAUAUACAAUACUACACACAGAGAGUGGUUUCAUUUUAUAAUAUUAAGAAGGAAGACCUACAAUGAAGUCCUCCUUCUAAUGUCCAUCCUGGAUGUCUAAACCUCACCAAGUCGGUAACAUCUUAGUGCUCUGGGAAACUCUCUGCAACUAGAGAGCAAUGGAAGUGACACUUUCCUUCAAAAAGUUAAUUCUUCACUGGGAGAUCUUUUUGCCUUUGAAUUCUAUCCCUAACUUCAUCUACUAUGUCUAUUCCUAUCCCCUUUCCCUUUCCCAUCCCCAUUUCGACCUCUAUAAGAAUGUCUAUCCCUAUCCCUAACUUCAUGUUAAUCCUUAAAUCUAUUUUGAUUAUUAUUCCCUGACAACCUAUUCAUGGAAUUUGUGUAUAAGUAUUUUUCAUGUAUAGUAUUAAGGGGUUAAUUGGAGAGCAGAGAGGCCAGAUAAGUGGCUAGCAGGUACAAAUGAGUUAUUUAUGGAAUAGUUAUGAAUGCUGGAGAAAAAAAGGAUUGAAUGAAUUGAAAUUAAUAGAAUUAUUAUGGUUGCACAAAUUUCAGACUAACAACUUGAUAGAGAAACUUAAAAAAUAUGUGAACAUAUCUGAAGUGAAUAUCGGAAAUCAGCCUGAGGGGACAGUAAAAGAAGAUAUAACAACAGGGCAAUUAUUGGCCGCAGAGGAUAUCAGUUUAGAUAUCACAAUUAAAAAAGAACAAGUAGAAGAAUUAGUAGAAGAGGAGAUCAGCAGGGGCAAACCUGCAGUGGGAAAAGCUCCAAUGCAGUUUUCCUGGUUUUGGUAAGAGAUGUGCAUUUUAUAAAUGGAUAACAAAAUUCUUAACAGACAAAAUGAUUUAUUUCUGCUGGAUUUUACCCCAAUUGUCUACCAUUUUGCUGUGUUUUUCCUUUAUAUAAAAGAACCUCAUUAUUUCUAUAUGGUUUCUCAGUGGUUCACAUCUUCCUCAAAUGGACUCUGGCAUAGAGGUAUCCAACUCACAGCCUAUAGUGGCCCCAAGAGAUCCAUUUCUUUUUGAGUUUGAUAACACCAACAUAGAGGAAAAAAUAUAGGACAUAGAGUGUAUCUAGGGUCAAAUUGGAGCUUUGUCACUUCAACUUGUGUGAUUGAGGUUAUGUGAUUUCUGAUCAAUACGUUUGAGAUUUCUCAUCUAUAUAAAAUGAGGGGAUGGCACAAGUUGACAUCCAGUGUUACUUCCAAAUCUACAUCAGGGAAACGUCAACUCCUUACAAGACAAAUCAUGUAUUAGUUGUGUUUAAUAUAGAGGAGGAAGCGGUAGAGAGAGAUGAUACCAUGCCACAUGCACAAAACUUUUAACUUAAUUGACUUCCAUUUCUUGUUUGUUUCUUUUUUUUAACAUAAAAGUCAGGUUAGGUUAUACCUAUUCUCUUCGAUAUAUGCCAACAUAGACAUGUGCCGCAUAAAAAACCAAAGUUCCUUUAACAUAUGGCUUUAUCUUUCUCAUGGAAUUGAAAUUCAUGAAUUUUUAUAGUGUGUUUCUCUUUAGGUAACUUUUUGCAUCAUAAUAGAAUAUAUUUUAUGCUUUAAUUAUUUCCCUCUCAAAUCUUGGAUGAUUCUAGCAAUGUCCAAGGAUACAAUUGGAGGAACUUCUUUUGUUUUAAAAAACAUGAUAAACAAGUAAAAAUGUGCACAAGCAGGAAGAAACUGACCAAAAGGUAAAUUUUCUUUAUGUGAAAUUUGUCAUAAAGAUUUAUGUGCAUUUCUCCAUUUUAAUUACUAGGUAAUAAGCUUGUAAAACAAUCUCUAAGACCCUUUAGCAGUUUUCACUAUCAAUGGUUAUAUUAACAUAGGCCAAUCUAAGCUUUUAAAUAUUGUCUCUCUUGAUCUCUAGCUAUUUGAUGACGCCUCUGCUUCUUUUAUACCCCAAAGCUGCUGGUGUCUGACUGGAUAGAAACUAAAGUUGGCCAUUGAUUAAAGAGUAUUGGAAUGAAAAAAUAUAUCCUGAAAUUUGAUUAUAAAAGAGUAAGAGGUGAAGAACUUCUUGAAUUAGACAAUGACACAUUAAAAGUAAGCUUCAGAAUAGGCUUUUUAUAUAUGCUAUAUAACCUUUUUUAUGGUGGACAUUGGAUGAAAAACAGUACAAAUAAUGGGAUUCCUAUAUAUGGCCCAUUUGACAACCUUAUGGUUUUAAGGAAAACAUGUUAACUACCUUUUUGAAUGUAGUUUCAAGAAAUGUUUUUUUUAAUGUGAUUUGCUCCCCCUUUUUUUAGCAUUCCUGCCAUAUGGUCACUCCUUUUUAUUUAUAUUUAUUUAUUGAAACCUUAUAUCUUCCAUUUUAGAAUAUAUAACAUGUAUGUUUCCGAGGAAAAAAAGUUUUAAGAGGUGGGCAAUGUGAGGCAAGUGACUGUCUCAGCAUCAUACUUCUAGGGGGUCACAUUUGAAACCAGGUCCUCUUUUCUCUAGGUCUGGUUCUCAAUCUAUUGAGCCACCAUUCUUUUUUUUUCUUUUUUUAGAAUUCUAUCUAUUAACAAACACUGGAAAACAGAAAAGCCAUAUUUUAAUUUUUGACCAGGCAGAUUAACUUCAUUGAAACAGAUUAAAAAAACAGUAAUCAUGGGAAAUGGCAAGCUUUCAUUUCAUUUAUAGUAAAUGAAAUAUCAAUAUUUUAACUUAUCUCUGAAAGUACCAAAUAAAUUAUUUCAAAAAGAUCA
rnacentral:lncRNA from 1 species